CCAUGUCCAGGAUGAAGCGGGAGUAAAAUCCCGUGGAGGUCCGAACGCACAUCCGUUGAAAAGGGUGGCGAUGAGGUGUGGGUAGGGGAGAAAUUCCAAUCGAACCCGGAGAUAGCUGGUUCUCCUCGAAAUAGCUUUAGGGCUAGCCUCGGUGCAAUCUGCUGGAGGUAGGGCACUGAAUUCCCGCGGGGGCGUCAAAGCCUACCAAAGGAUAUCAAACUGCGAAUGCCAGACAGAUGGUCACCGGGAGUCAGACCACACGAGAUAAGUUGGGUGGUCAAAAGGGAAAGAGCCCAGACCUGCAGCUAAGGUCCCAAAGUGCGUGUUAAGUGGAAAAGGAUGUGGGAUCUCGAAGACAACUAGGAUGUUGGCUCAGAAGCAGCCAUACAUUCAAAGAGUGCGUAAUAGCUCACUAGUCGAGAGGUCCUGCGCCGAAAAUGAACCGGGGCUAAACACGACACCGAAGCUCAGGAAUCCGAAAGGAUUGGUAGAGGAGCAUUGCUGAAGCGACGAAGCAGUACCGAAAGGAGCUGUGGAGUUUCAGGAAGAGAGAAUGCCGGAAUGAGUAGCGAGAGAAAGGUGAGAAUCCUUCGGCCGAAUAUCCAAGGUUUCCAGGGUAAAGCUGAUCUGCCUGGGUAAGUCGGGGCCUAAGGCGAGGCAGAAAUGCGUAGUCGAUGGACAGCAGGUUGAGAUCCUGCACCCGUAAUGAACAGAACUGUAGUGACACGGAAGGUAAGACAGAGCCGGGAAUGAGAAAACCGGUGCAAGCACAAUAGAUGUGUGGGAGGAAAAACCCCCGCAUAAGUCGAAGGUGUGACGCGGACCGAAAAAGAGUAGGGAAGCUGUUAAGCAAGCCGUCAAGAAAAGCUGCUAUUGUUUCAUUAUGGCCCGUACCGUAAACCGACACAGGUGGAUGGGGAGAGAAUCCUAAGGCCGGCGGAAGAAGUAUUGUUAAGGAACUCGGCAAAAUGACCCCGUAACUUCGGGAGAAGGGGUGCCUGCGAGAGCAGGCCGCAGAGAAGAGGCCCAAGCAACUGUUUAGCAAAAACACAGGUCUAUGCAAAACCGAAAGGUGAGGUAUAUGCUGACGCCUGCCCGGUGCUGGAAGGUUAAGGGGAGUGGUCAGGAAACGAAGCCACGAACUUAAGCCCCAGUAAACGGCGGCCGUAACUAUAACGGUCCUAAGGUAGCGAAAUUCCUUGUCGGGUAAGUUCCGACCCGCACGAAAGGCGUAAUGAUUUGGGCGCUGUCUCGACAAUACAUCCGGUGAAAUUGAAGUGCCAGUGAAGAUGCUGGCUACCUGCGCCAGGACGGAAAGACCCCAUGGAGCUUUACUCCAGCUUGAUACUGGGACCCGGUAUUGCAUGUACAGGAUAGGUGGGAGGCUAGGAAAUGUGGACGCCAGUCUGCAUGGAGCCGCCGUUGGGAUACCACCCUUGUGGUGCUGGGUUUCUAACCAGAGGCCGUGAACCGGUCUGGGGACAAUGUCAGGUGGGGAGUUUGACUGGGGCGGUCGCUCCGAAAGGGUAUCGGAGGCGCCCAAAGGUUCCCUCAGAAUGGUUGGAAACCAUUCGAAGAGUGCAAAGGCAGAAGGGAGCUUGACUGCGACACCGACGGGUGGAGCAGGUACGAAAGUAGGGCUUAGUGAUCCGGUGGAAUU
rnacentral:rRNA from 1 species